rnacentral:lncRNA from 1 species
AGCAGAUCUGGGCCUGAGCAGUCCCCAAGGAGGAAGCCCAGCUUAGAGCCAGGAAAAGCAGGGUGACGACCCAGUCUCUCCACGCUGCCCCACUCCUGCGACUGAGGCCAGAGGCUGGCGGGGGGAAGCGAGGUGACCUCCAUUUCUGAGCACGGACUUUAGCGUCUUUUCACCCUGCCGAUAGCCUUAGUUCAUGCCCUGAGCGGCACAAGAUUCACCAGACAUCCUUAUUUGUCCCCAUCUUUUGGAGGAGGAAACUGAGACCCUGAAUUUGACUUCACUUCUGGCUUUAAUUAUUGAAGAAACCAUCAAUGAACGGCAACACUGAAUUCUAGGAUCAAGUGCCCAAUCACCUGUUGAUUAUGUCUCCACCUGGAUGUCUAGUAGGUGUCUUAAGGCAUCAAAAACUGAGCCCUUGGGUGUAGCUCAGUGGUGGAGCACUUGCCUAGCACGUGUGAGGCGGCACUACAUAAAAAUAGAUGUAAUAAAGGCAUUCUACUGAUCUACAAAUCCAUAGAUUUGUAGAGUCCUCCUACCAGACUCUCUGCUAUCUCGGGCUUAACCAUCUCGGUGGAUGAUAAAUCUUUGGGGUCACCCUUGACUCCCUUCUCUCACAUUCCACGACUGAUUUUGCAGCAAAUCUAGGCCAUCUCAAAAUAUCUCCAGAAUCCAGUCACUUGCCUCCUCUUGGCCCAGCCACCAUACCCUUCCACUUGGACUCUUACAGUGGCCUCCUCCUUAGGUUGCUGGCUUCUAUCUCUGCGGCUCUUAGUCUGUUUCCUCCAGCACAGCCAGGAGGAUGCUAUGGCCUUCUAUAAGUGACAGCAAGUGUUAGACAGUACUUGGGGAAAUCUGAACCUCACACUCUGGCAGGAAAGUAAAAUGGUGCAGCCACUCUAGAAGAGCCUGGCGGUUCCUCAAAAGGUUAAACCUAGAGUUGCCAGCGACUCCACAGCUAGGUAUGGAUCCAAGAGAAAGGAAAAUAUGUCCACACAAAAUACACAUGCAAAUGUUCAUUGCAGCAUUAUUCAUAGCCCCAAAAAAACUCAAGUUGUCCAUUAGCUAAAGAAUGGACAAACUAACUGUGGUACGUCCACUCAAUGGAAGAUCAUUUGGUGAUUAAAAAAAAAAAAGAAGUACUAAUAGAUACAUGCUGAUACCUGGCUGAAGGUUGAACCCAACGUGCAGAAUGAAAGAAGCCUGUCACAAAAGGCCACAUACUGUAUGAUUCCGGUUAUGUGCAUGUCCAGAAUUGGCAAAUGAACACAAGGCCAGCGUGGUUGGCAGAAGCUGGGGAGACUGAGGGAUGACAACUGAGGGAGCAGGUUUUUCUUUUGGGGGUGGGGGAUGGAAAUGAUCUAAAAUCGAUAGUGGUGAUAUUUGUAUAAAUCUGUGAAUAUACUAUAAACCACUGAGCCGUAUGAUUGAUAUGGGUGAAUUUUACGAUAUGUGAAUUGCAGCUCAAUAGAACUUCUAACACCACCAUCCCCCAAAAAUAAAAAAU